GUGGUAGCUCAGUGGUAGAGUGCCUGCCUAGCAUGUGUGAGGCACUGGGUUUGAUCCUCAGCACCACA
rnacentral:tRNA from 1 species